rnacentral:rRNA from 1 species
AAAUUUAUAUUUAUUAAAUUUUUUAGUUAAAAUAUAAAUAUUUGAAAUAUAAAAAUUUUUAUUAAAUUAAGGAAAAAAUUUUAUUAAUUAUAGUUAAAUUGUAUUGAAAAAGAAAAUAUAAUAUUAGAUAAAAGAAAAAUUAAUUUUUUGUACCUUGUGCAUCAGGGUUUAUUAAAUAAAAAUUAUAAAUUUAAUAUUCUCGAAUUUAAAAGAUCUAAAAAAUUAAAAUUUUUAUUGUAAAAUAAAUAUUUUAAAUAAUUUUUUAGUAAUGAAAUGUUAUUCGUUUUUAAAUAUAUCUAGUUUUUUAAGAAAUAAAUUUAAUUUAUUUAUUAUUAAUAUAUUUAUAUUUAAAUAUUAAUAUAUUAUUAAUAGAAAAUGUUUUUAGGGAUGAGCUUAAAAAUAAAUUAUUAGUAGAAAAUUAAAUAAUAUAUUAAAAAUUAGGAUUAAAAUUUUUCAUAUUUUAAAGUAUGUUAUAAUUUAUUUUAUAAAAUUAUUAUUUAUAUAUUCUAUAAAUUUUUUAUUAAAAUAUAAAUUUAAAUUUUUAAAAUUUAGUAAUAAUGAUAAAAUUAGUAUAUAAAUUUAUAUUUUAUAAAUAUAGGAUUUAGGUUAAUAAAAGGAAUUCGGCAAAAAUUUUUUCACCUGUUUAUUAAAAACAUGUCUUUUUGUAAUAAAUUUAAGGUCUAGCCUGCCCACUGAUAUUUUGAAUGGCCGCAGUAUUUUGACUGUGCUAAGGUAGCAUAAUCAUUAGUUUUUUAAUUGAAAGCUGGAAUGAAGGGUUGGAUGAAAAAAAAACUGUCUCUUAUUAAUUUUUAUAAAAUUUUAUUUUUAAGUUAAAAAGCUUAAAUAAUAUUAAAAGACGAGAAGACCCUAUAGAGUUUAAAAAUUGAAUUUAAUUUUAUUAUUUAGUAUUUAUACAUUAAAUUGAUUUAAUUUUUUAAUUGGGGUGAUUAAAAAAUUUAAUAAACUUUUUUUAUAUUUUUAUAUUGAUAUAUGAAUAAUUGAUCCAAUUAUUUUGAUUAUAAGAUUAAAUUACCUUAGGGAUAACAGCGUAAUUUUAUUAGAGAGUUCAAAUCGAUAAUAAAGAUUGCGACCUCGAUGUUGGAUUAAAAUUUAUAAUUGGUGUAGAAGCUAUAUUAUUAAGUCUGUUCGACUUUUAAAAUUUUACAUGAUCUGAGUUUAAACCGGUGUAAGCCAGGUUGGUUUCUAUCUUUAAUUAAUUAAUUUAUUUUAGUACGAAAGGACCAAAUAAA